UCAAAUAGUAGUAAUUAAAAAUAUUAGUUUACAGUAUUAGAGUAUAUGGGCCCUAUGUGGCAGUAUAUAACAAAUCAGCGCAUAAAACAAAAGUCGAGAGGCUAUAUAAGCUAUAACAACAUGCUAUACUUUCGAGACCA